rnacentral:rRNA from 1 species
AUAAACGCUGGCGGCGUGCCUAAUGCAUGCAAGUCGAACGGGACUUUUCGGAGUGCCGUGGCGAACGGGUGAGGAACACGUGGGUGACCUGCCGUGGAGUGGGGCAUAACCCGGGGAAACUCGGGCUAUUUCCGCAUACGGUCUGCGCUUCGGUGCGUAGAAGAAAGCCGUAAGGCGCUCGACGAGGGGCCUGCGUCCGAUUAGCUGGUUGGUGGGGUAAAGGCCUACCAAGGCUGUGAUCGGUAGCCGGUCUGAGAGGACGGCCGGCCACACUGGAACUGGGACACGGUCCAGACUCCUACGGGAGGCAGCAGCAAGGGAUAUUGCGCAAUGGCCGAAAGGCUGACGCAGCGACGCCGCGUGGGGGAGGAAGGCUUUCGGGUCGUAAACCCCUUUUGGUUGGGACGAAGACUGACGGUACCAGCCGAAGAAGCCCCGGCUAACUACGU